CGCGUAGGCGGAUAGAAAAGUCGGAUGUGAAAUCCUAGAGCUCAACUUUAGGGCUGCAUCUGAAACUUUCUACCUUGAGGGUAGGCGGAGAAAACGGAAUUCCAUGUGUAGCGGUGAAAUGCGUAGAUAUAUGGAAGAACACCAGUGGCGAAGGCGGUUUUCUAGCUUAUACCUGACGCUGAGGCGCGAAAGCAAGGGGUGCAAACA
rnacentral:rRNA from 1 species